rnacentral:lncRNA from 1 species
CAGAGGGUUAGUGAUAGGUAAGGUAGUGAUCAGAGGGUUAGUGAUAGGUAAGGUAGGGAUCAGAGGGUUAGUGAUAGGUGAGGUAGGGAUCAGAGGGUUAGUGAUAGGUGAGGUAGUGAUCAAAGGGUUAGUGAUAGGUGAGGUAGUGAUCAGAGGGUUAGUGAUAGGUAAGGUAGUGAUCAGAGGGUUAGUGAUAGGUAAGGUAGUGAUCAGAGGGUUAGUGAUAGGUGAGGUAGUGAUCAGAGGGUUAGUGAUAGGUGAGGUAGUGAUCAGAGGGUUAGUGAUAGGUAGAGGGGGCAACAGGAGUCAAACGGUGAUCCAAUUUAUUGAAUGAGAAAGAUCAGACAGGCCGUACCUGAAGACAACUUAAAGAGAGGGGGAUAGCUUCUGAAGAGACCAAUUGAAAUUGUGCAAAGAGAUUUGAAGAAGGGAAAACAGAAAGCACAUAGAAUUGUUGUUUUUACCUCUCUCUCUCUCUCUCUCUCUCUCUCUCUCUCUCUCUCUCUCUAUCACUCUCUCUCUCUAUCACUCUCUCGUUCUCUCUCUCUCUCGCUCUCUCUCACUCUCGCUCUCUUGCUCUCUCGCUCUCUCGUUCUCUCGCUCUCUCAUUCUCUCUUUCUCUCGCUCUCUCUCUCGCUCUCUCACUCGUUCUCUCACUCUCUCUCUCUCUCUCUCUCUCUCUCUCUCUCUCUCUAUCACUCUCUCGUUCUCUCUCUCUCUCACUCUCUCGUUCUCUCUCUCUCUCGCUCUAUCGCUCUCUCUCACUCUCGCUCUCUUGCUCUCUCGCUCUCUCGUUCUCUCGCUCUCUCAUUCUCUCUUUCUCUCGCUCUCUCGCUCUCUCUCUCGCUCUCUCACUCGCUCUCUCACUCUCUCUCUCUCUGGCUCUCUCACUCUCUCUCUCUCUCUCUCUCUCUCUCUCACUCUCUCUCUCUGGCUCUCUCGCUCUCUCACUCUCUCUCUCACUCUCUCUCUCUCUGUCUCUCUCUCACUCACUCUCUCUGGCUCUCUCACUCUCUCUCUCUCUCUCUCUCUCUCUCUCUCUCUCUCUCUCACUCUCUCUCUCUGGCUCUCUCACUCUCUCUCUCACUCUCUCUCUCUCUCUCUCUCUCUCACUCUCUCUCUCUGGCUCUCUCGCUCUCUCACUCUCUCUCUCACUCUCUCUCUCUCUCUCUGGCUCUCUCGCUCUCUCACUCUCUCUCUCACUCUCUCUCUCUCUCUCUCACUCUCUCUCUCGCUCUGUCUUUCUGUCUCUUCCUCCCCCUGGUGUCCAAUAAAUGCAAUCAUUCCAUAUUUAUUUGUGAGAAAUAAGAACAACAUACUCAUGCGGUCUAUAAUUUCCGAUAAAGUAAACAGUUCUGCGUCUGCUGCCCUCAGAGCAUGAGGCAUAAAUUAGCCACAAGGGAUUUGGUGUGUAUAUAUGUAUAGUGUCUAGAGAGGGAUACAAGAGUGGUGCUAAUGUUGUGACUACACAUCCAUCAUAUUUAUUAUGUACCAAUAAUACGUGUUUACUGCAUGUGGAUGCUACAGCAGCACUUUGAACAUUACAGGAGAAUCUGUAAGACAAGCUCGUGAUUGUACAGAGACAUCAAGACUGACCUGUUCGUCUUUGUCGUAAACAUUUACCAGAUCUGCUGUCUAUACAACUUCAACGUAAUCUCCAAUAUAUUUUUCCAUCCCAUGCAAAAUGUAUACUUAAAUGUCUCUAUGUUAAAAACCUUUUUUUUUUUUUGAGGAUCCUAUUUCUUUAUUCAAGAGACUGCUUUAGAGUUGGGAUGUAUUCCAGCUGCAGAAUCAUCUGUUUGUGGGCUGCAGGCUUUUCGUCCUUCACUAGAAAGUAUUUAAAUUGUCCUGAUUGCAGCAGAUGAAGUGCUGCCUGACUGGGUAAUUCAUAAAGCUGAGCCUGAGCAACACUGAAACAGUUGUUGUAAUACUAGGCCACAGCUGUUGCCGGAAUAGAUUUCACAGAUGAUGAGACAGACAGAGGUGUCCAAAAAGACAAACCAAAUAGGAAUGUAACUGGAGAAAACAGGUUCCAACAUUCCCUGAAUUCCCAAGUUUUUCAGAAAUUCCGUUUGGAAAAUUUCCAGUUUUUCUAGCAAACCUGGUUGGAAAAUUCCCGGAAUCAGGAAGGAAUAAACUGGAAAUUUAGAAUCUUACAACUGAAUUCUGGAAAACCUGGGAAUUUGAGGAAUUACCAAUUACCAUUGUUUUGCAACCCUAUAACAGGUCAAAACAAAGUAUGAUUAAUGUGCAAUAUAAUACAACCAACAGUCAAAUUCAAUUAUUCUAUUUUAGCCCUUCUGAACAUUUGGCAUUAGUUGGGCUCCAAUUGUUAGAGCUUGGAGGAGGUAGUACUUUACGAUUGUGUCAAAAAUAAUCAUAUAUAUAUAUAUAUAUAUAUAUAUAUUGUUUUACCUUUACUUAACUAGGAUGACGGCCUACACCGGCCAAACCCGGACGAUUCUGGGCCAAUAUGGGACUCCCAAUCACAGCCGGUUGUGAUUACAGCCUGGAUUCGAACCAGAGUGUCUGUAGUGACACCUCUUGCACUGAGAUGCAGCCUUAGACCACUGCACCACUCAGGAGCCCAUAUGUUAUGCUGCACAAGCCGUACAAGUGUAUACAUACAUUUAUCCAAGUUUAUUUUUUAUUUUUUUCAGCUCCGGCUAAAAACUUUAAAGGUGUCCCAAGUGUCUCCCUAUUCCCUAUUUAGUGCACUAGGGCCCAUAGGGUUCUGGUCAAAAGUAGUGCACUAUGUAGGGAAUAGGGUGCCAUUUGGGACACUGUUUAAAUUUAACCACUGAUGAUCCAGAUACUUCCUCAAUGACACCUGCCACAGCAGGACUCUGCUUUAGCAAAUUGUUAAACGCAUUGACAACACAUAGGAUAUUCUUCCUAGCUAUUCAUUUCUGUUCACCAUAAACCCAGUAUUAGGUAAAACGUAGCUCCUGGCAUGUACUAAACUCCUCAAACAACAUCAUUGGCCAAACCCUCUCAUCAGCAGUUCUCUGUUUUGUUUUCUUGUUUUUGCUGGUUCUGCUAUAUGGUUUCAUGUUUGUCUUGUAAAACAAUGUCAACGAGGAAGGACUUUUUAGCGCUGUAGUUUUUAGAGACAGACAGAAAGUAACACUUCCCCUAAAUAUUUUAGUCCAACGUGAUGCCACUAGCACAAAGUGAGACCAUACCCUGUAUGUGUUUUCAGGUACCUUUCUCAGUGCCUGUUUCAAAUGACUGUAUUUGCCUUCUCAGUGUGGGUCAACCAGUGUUGUAAUCUCGAUCCCAGGCUCAUUUGCUAUUUGCCGUAAGCUCCAUUCAUGUGCUGUUUCAAGGUUCUGUGAAACCAGACAGGUUCAACAACGAGAGAGCUGAGUGGGUUGGUGACUGGGUGGGUGACUGGCUGAGUGGGUGGCUGGGUGACUGAGUGGGUGACUAAGUGG